rnacentral:rRNA from 1 species
UACGGAGGGAGCUAGCGUUAUUCGGAAUUACUGGGCGUAAAGCGCACGUAGGCGGCUUUGUAAGUAAGAGGUGAAAGCCCAGAGCUCAACUCUGGAAUUGCCUUUUAGACUGCAUCGCUUGAAUCAUGGAGAGAUCAGUGGAAUUCCGAGUGUAGAGGUGAAAUUCGUAGAUAUUCGGAAGAACACCAGUGGCGAAGGCGGCUGACUGGACAUGUAUUGACGCUGAGGUGCGAAAGCGUGGGGAGCAAACAGG